UAAUACAUCGGAACGUGUCUUCUAGUGGGGGAUAACUGCCCGAAAGGGCAGCUAAUACCGCAUGAGACCUGAGGGUGAAAGCGGGGGAUCGCAAGACCUCGCGCUGGAAGAGCGGCCGAUGUCCGAUUAGCUAGUUGGUGAGGUGAAGGCUCACCAAGGCGACGAUCGGUAGCUGGUCUGAGAGGACGACCAGCCACACUGGGACUGAGACACGGCCCAG
rnacentral:rRNA from 1 species